rnacentral:piRNA from 1 species
UCCGUCCAGUACCACGGAA